UGCCCCUUCCUGAAUACCCCAAUUGAGCACUAUCAUGCCAUGGCUGCCAUUUAUGGGACAAUUGGGGCCAAGGGGCUGAAUGGCAGAUCUGGCAAUGAUCUUCUUUCCAUUGAUCUUGAAGACGAGGAGAACGGUGAGGUCAACACGUCACCAAAUGUUGGUGAAUCUUCUGUCCCCAAGGCACCACCAAAAAAAGGCUAAGGUAAAGCAUGUUCGUGAAGAUCACUUAAUUGAAUUCUCAAAGAUGGGUUCAAACUUGUGGCCGAUGCGCUUGUGAAGUCUAGUGGAGAUGAUGAUGAUAUACUAGAUGACCUUUGGGAUGUAGUCUCCACAUUGCCAGAUUUUAGUGAAGAGCACGUAGCCCACUACUAUGCGCAUCUUGUGGACAACCCAAAGAAUGCAAGAGCCUUCAUGAAACUUUUCCAAACCAACAAGUCUGUUUGGGUGAGUAGGUAUAUCAAGAAGAACUUCUAA
rnacentral:rRNA from 1 species